rnacentral:rRNA from 1 species
UACGGGGGGGGCAAGCGUUGUUCGGAAUUACUGGGCGUAAAGGGCUCGUAGGCGGCCAACUAAGUCAGACGUGAAAUCCCUCGGCUUAACCGGGGAAUGGCGUCUGAUACUGGAUGGCUUGAAUCCGGGAGAGGGAUGCGGAAUUCCAGGUGUAGCGGUGAAAUGCGUAGAUAUCUGGAGGAACACCGGUGGCGAAGGCGGCAUCCUGGACCGGCAUUGACGCUGAGGGGCGAAAGCCAGGGGAGCAAACGGG